UUUACGCUCAACUGCUUUCGCCAACAGAAAUCAAUCUGAGGCACUGCUCUGCAGAUCAUACACUUCAGGACCAUCUUCUUAUGGACCACGGGGCCGAUCUGUUCAUCAGCAGGUCCACUCAGCCGCGUCUCCAGCAAAAGCAGCAAAAAUGUCCACCCCAACCACGACUUCUACUACUACUCUUAAAGUGUUUACUAAAGACAAAGAUCCCUCAAGCAGCG
rnacentral:misc_RNA from 1 species